rnacentral:rRNA from 1 species
UCGAGAAUCUUCCGCAAUGGACGAAAGUCUGACGGAGCGACGCCGCGUGGUGGAUGAAGCCCUUAGGGGCGUAAACACCUUUUAUGAGGGAGGAAGUUUAUUGACGUUACCUCAUGAAUAAGGGGCUCCCAACUCUGUGCCAGCAGGAGCGGUAAUACAGAGGCCCCGAGCAUUAUCCGGAUUCACUGGGCGUAAAGGGUGCGUAGGCGGUGUGAUUAGUCAGGUGUUAAAUCCUCGGGCUCAACCCGAGAAUCGCAUUUGAAACGGUCACACUAGAAGAAGUCAGAGGUAAGCAGAACUCUCGGUGUAGGGGUGAAAUCCGUUGAUAUCGAGGGGAAUACCAAAUGCGAAGGCAGCUUACUGGGACUUUCUUGACGCUGAGGCACGAAAGCAUGGGUAGCGAACGGGAUUAGAUACCCCCGUAGUCC